rnacentral:rRNA from 1 species
AGGAGAGUUUGAUCCUGGCUCAGGAUGAACGCUGGCGGCGUGCUUAAUACAUGCAAGUCGAACGAAGAUGUUUCGCCGAAGUUUACUUCAUUGAGAUAUCUUAGUGGCGGACGGGUGAGUAACGCGUGGGUAACCUGCCUUACACAGGGGGAUAACAGUUAGAAAUGACUGCUAAUACCGCAUAAGCGCACAUUAUCGCAUGAUAGAGUGUGAAAAGAUUUAUCGGUGUAAGAUGGACCCGCGUCUGAUUAGCUAGUUGGUGAGGUAACGGCCCACCAAGGCGACGAUCAGUAGCCGGCCUGAGAGGGUGAACGGCCACAUUGGGACUGAGACACGGCCCAAACUCCUACGGGAGGCAGCAGUAGGGAAUAUUGGACAAUGGGGGAAACCCUGAUCCAGCGACGCCGCGUGAGUGAAGAAGUAUUUCGGUACGUAAAGCUCUAUCAGCAGGGAAGAAAAUGACGGUACCUGACUAAGAAGCACCGGCUAAAUACGUGCCAGCAGCCGCGGUAAUACGUAUGGUGCAAGCGUUAUUCGGAUUUACUGGGUGUAAAGGGAGCGUAGACGGCAUAGCAAGUCUGAAGUGAAAUGCGGGGGCUCAACCCCUGAACUGCUUUGGAAACUGUUAAGCUAGAGUGUCGGAGAGGUUAGUGGAAUUCCUAGUGUAGCGGUGAAAUGCGUAGAUAUUAGGAGGAACACCGGUGGCGAAGGCGGCUAACUGGACGAUAACUGACGUUGAGGCUCGAAAGCGUGGGGAGCAAACAGGAUUAGAUACCCUGGUAGUCCCCU